AUAUACCGCCGUCGCCAGCUUACCUUGCAAAAGAAACAAAGCAAGCCAAACUGAACUACACUAACACGACAGGUCGAGGUGUAACUCAUAAACGGGUCAAAGAUGGGCUACAUUUUCUUACCAGAAAAAACGAACCGAGCAUGAAACAACAACCCGAAGGCGGAUUUAGCAGUAAGAUAAAAAUAGAACAUUUACCUGAAACUAAUGCAAUGAAGUGCGUACACACCGCCCGUCAUCCCUGUAGAACACCAUAAACAUACAUAAACACAAAUACCUCUUAAAGCAGGGCAAGUCGUAACAUGGUAAGCGUACUGGAAGGUGUGCUUAGAAA
rnacentral:rRNA from 1 species